CCCCUCUCAGGGUCGCACCUGGAGGGUUUUCAGUUCUCUACCAGUCUUGGCUAUUGGAGGGAUAGUCAAACCGAGGCCUACCCAUUCCAUUCCUAGCUUGGGCAGUGGCUAGCGAGUGGAAGGUAAUCUGCUACAAGU